rnacentral:rRNA from 1 species
CCUACGGGGAGCAGCAGUGAGGAAUAUUGGUCAAUGGGCGCGAGCCUGAACCAGCCAAGUCGCGUGAGGGAAGACGGUCCUAUGGAUUGUAAACCUCUUUUGUCGGGGAGCAAAAGACGCCACGCGUGGCGUUCCGCGCGUACCCGAAGAAAAAGCAUCGGCUAACUCCGUGCCAGCAGCCGCGGUAAUACGGGGGAUGCGAGCGUUAUCCGGAUUUAUUGGGUUUAAGGGGUGCGCAGGCGGAAGAUCAAGUCAGCGGUAAAAUUGAGAGGCUCAACCUCUUCGAGCCGUUGAAACUGGUUGUCUUGAGUGAGCGAGAAGUAUGCGGAAUGCGUGGUGUAGCGGUGAAAUGCAUAGAUAUCACGCAGAACUCCGAUUGCGAAGGCAGCAUACCGGCGCUCAACUGACGCUCAUGCACGAAAGUGUGGGUAUCGAACAGGAUUAGAUACCCCAGUAGUC